rnacentral:rRNA from 1 species
AGAGUUUGAUCCUGGCUCAGGAUGAACGCUGGCGGUCUGCUUAACACAUGCAAGUCGAACGGAAUCUUUCGGGAUUUAGUGGCGGACGGGUGAGUAACGCGUGAGAAUCUGCCUUCAGGUUCGGGACAACAGUUGGAAACGGCUGCUAAUACCGGAUGUGCCGAGAGGUGAAAGCUUAAGUGCCUGGAGAUGAGCUCGCGUCUGAUUAGCUAGUAGGAGUGGUAACGGCACCCCUAGGCGACGAUCAGUAGCUGGUCUGAGAGGAUGAUCAGCCACACUGGGACUGAGACACGGCCCAGACUCCUACGGAGGCAGCAGUGGGGAAUUUUCCGCAAUGGGCGCAAGCCUGACGGAGCAAGACCGCGUGAGGGAAGAAGGUCUGUGGACUGUAAACCUCUUUUGAUCGGGAAGAAGACAGUGACGGUACCGAUCGAAUCAGCUCGAUGCGCAG